rnacentral:rRNA from 1 species
GCGCAGCAGUCGAGAAUCUUUUGCAAUGCCCGAAAGGGUGACAAUGCGACGCCGCGUGAGCGAUGAAGGCCUUCGGGUUGUAAAGCUCUGUCAGCUCGGAUGAAAGCAGGGGAGCCAAUACCUUUUCUGUCUGACGGUACGAGCAGAGGAAGCUACGGCUAACUCCGUGCCAGCAGCCGCGGUAAUACGGAGGUGGCAAGCGUUGUUCGGAUUUACUGGGUGUAAAGGUCAUGUAGGCGUCUUACUAAGUCGGAUGUGAAUCCCCUGGCUCAACCAGGGAACUGCAUUCGAUGCUGGUUAGAUUGAGUACGGGAGAGGAAG